CUUCCGGAAGUCUGUGUCCUAGAAGUUAUCCCCGCACAAGCCACAGGCGCCUGAGCUCCACAUUUUGGAGAAAAGGAAUGGUUAGAAUCAUGGCAGGAUUGCUGAGGCAGUGAAUUGAAGAGGCUGCGUAGUGCUUGCAACCAGUUACCAUAUUUCCCUGGAGGAAUCACCAGCAACCGACUCUCCCAGGACUUACGAGGUGCUUCCCUUAUCACCAGCCGUCUCAGCACAAGUAGUAAGAGAUAAGAAGGCAGCUGAGGUACACGCUUUGCCUCGUGGGUGUGAACCAAGUAGCGGGCACAGAGAGCCGCCACUGAGGGACGUCGGAUGAAGUGAUGGGAUUCGUCACCUGUCAUCAUUGCAUCAGCUCUUUACGUAGCCAUGUGUGGGCUAUACCCAGCAGUGCACUCUGUAUUCUGUGCAGUUAAUUACAUUUAACGUACCAUGUAGUGGCAGGCACAGUGUGCAUUUUGGGUUACAAGCCAUUGCUUGUUGGACUUCUCUGCCAGCCUCUUUACUCAAUUCUCACCGUCCCGGAGCAGAGAACUUCAUUAGAGAAGUAGUGAGACUUUUUCAGUUUCAAAAAUUUAGGUCAGUGCCAGAUCUUCAGCAUCCUUUGUUUGAAGGCAACAGAAACAGGCUCAGCUGAUUGGUGUCAGUUAUUGGAAGCUCAUGGAAUUGAAGAAAAAAAGCGUGGAAAGUCAAAUAACGUGGAGUCUUCCGUUUCAACUGAAGGAGGGCCAGGGACAAAGCAGGUGAUCUUAGAUGCCCCAGGGACCCAGAAGCCAGGCUCAAAGGCUCAGUCCCCACCCUCCUGAACACAGGCACUCUCAAUCAGCUGGCUGAGUUCCUUGUUUGAAGACACUGGAAGACGGAUUCACUGCAGAGGCCCCUGACAGUGACUGAUUGUCCACUGAGAGGCAGUUGUAUAAGAUCAAUGUCAUUCACAAGAGAAGCAAGGAGAAACACACAGCUUUCUAGACACUGGACCGUUUAGUUGUUACAAGCAUACGUACAUUUUAUAAAACAGUAAUUAUAUUGUAGAUAUGGUUUUUAUCCUCAUAGUUAUUUUUGUACAAUUAUGAAAUGCAAGGUUAUUGCUGAGAGAUUCAUCCAUGCUACAGCCAUUGCAAAUUACAUCUUAUCACUAAGCAGGUGCCCCACCUCCUUAUUUUUUCUUAUUAGUAAAAACAUAUUUGUGAUUUAAAU
rnacentral:lncRNA from 1 species